rnacentral:rRNA from 1 species
GACGAACGCUGGCGGCGUGCCUAACACAUGCAAGUCGAACGGGGUCCAUCCGGUGGCAACACCGGAGAAGACCUAGUGGCGAACGGGUGAGUAACACGUGAGGAACCUGCCCCGAAGACCGGGAUAAGCCGAGGAAACUUGGUCUAAUACCGGAUAUCCCCAUCAGAUCGCAUGUUCAGAUGAGGAAAUGGAUUCCGCUUCGGGAGGGCCUCGCGGCCUAUCAGCUAGUUGGUGAGGUAACGGCUCACCAAGGCAUCGACGGGUAGCUGGUCUGAGAGGACGAUCAGCCACACUGGGACUGAGACACGGCCCAGACUCCUACGGGAGGCAGCAGUGGGGAAUCUUGCGCAAUGGGGGAAACCCUGACGCAGCAACGCCGCGUGCGGGACGAAGGCUCUCGGGUCGUAAACCGCUUUCAGGAGGGAAGAAAAUGACGGUACCUCCAGAAGAAGCCCCGGCCAACUACGUGCCAGCCGCCGCGGUAACAC